AUGUUCUGCUGUUUCAGCUGUGAUUCUGACAGGUUCUUCCAGRGUGUGUGUGAAUCCAUCCCUGUGAGGUCCAGAGAGGAUGCCCAGCAGUUGGCCUCUCUCCUCCAGGCCUUGGGCUCCACCCUGUCACUGGGAGGACAGUUACCCAGGAAAACCUGCAGGUCUGUGGUGAGAGUGCUUGGCCUCUGUGCCUCCAGAGUGGACCUCACUCUCACCCCCAGCAAGAUCUCUCUGAAAGGAGCCUCGCUUCUCUUCACACAUGUGUCACAGCUACACAAGCUCAGGCUGAAUGUGGGCAUGGCAGUGAGACUGGCCAGACUGGCUAGGAGGACAGGGAGAGGGGGUUCUCCACUGACGGUCCCAGAGCUCUCCCUGGUCCUAAAGAGCAGCCAGCCACCAGAGAGAGUGUUAUCCAGGGCUCUGAGUAGUGUGGCGUCCCUGCUGAGACUCUGGACGGUGCAGUGUCUGGACCUGACUGACUUCUGCAUCCAGGGUCACUCUGUCAUCACACUGCUGUGUCACCAAGGCCCUCUCACUCUCAGACUGCACUCAGACARRCUGCAGCAGCUGGCUGUGGUUGUGUAUGAAGCUCAGGACAAGGACUUGACUCGGUGGUUCCUGGAGAAGGUUGGUGGAGACCUGACCACCUGUAGGCUGGACUGGGAGGUGCUUCUCUCUCUGCUGCAGCAUUCAACCCACAACAUCACAGUGGACCUCAGGAAGAACAGGUUUCUAGAGAAGAACAUCUCAGAUCUUCUCCCCUUUCUGGGAAGGGUUAUAUUCAAGAGGCUCAGUUCCAGCUUUGUGAAGUCCACCAUCAGACAGAUCUAUGACAGUAGAGCCAGUGACUGUGUGUCCAGUUUGUUGAGGUCUUCAGACCAUUGGAUCAACCUGAAUAGCAGAGAGCUGGACAGAGUGGACUGUACUGCGCUGUGUUUCACCCUGCAGCACAGCCACCAAGUCAAAGUCAAUCUCCUGUGGACCUCCAUACCACCGGGGGAGAUAGAGAGCAUCCUGCCUCUUCUGGACAGAGUCUCCCAACUCAGGUUUCGUUGGCACUCUUUGACCAUUCUAGAAUGGAUAGAACUGUGACGCUUUACACUGUCAGACUGAUUUUAAUACCCUAACCUUAGUGUAAUGUACUUACCUUUCCCCAGGGGUGGAAUUGAAGGGGAACGCGUGGGAGUUGACGUGAAUCACAGAGUUGUAGUGUGUUUUAUCAUGGUUUAUUGUGUGCUGGUGUGAAAUGAAUUCUCUCUCCUCUCUCUCUCUCUCUCUCUCCCUCUCUCUCUCUCUCUCUCCUCUCUCUCCUCCUCUCUCUCUCCUGUUGACAGGAUGCUGUUGCUGAGUUUCCUGCGCUGCCUCUCAGAUCCUGCAGGGGGCACUAUCACCACCUUCAGCAAUAACGCAGCAGCAGAGCUGCUCAGGCGGCUCUGCAGCACAGGUUGGACUUCCUCCUCCUGCUCCCUUUGUGGACCUGUCAGCUCACGACCAGGGGAGGCGCUGUGUCUGACCACUGUAGGGCCAUAAACUCUGUUCUGAAGCAGAGCCAGCACAGCACACAGCUGGUUCAGAACCCGACCCAGAACCAGUCCCGAAACCAGCCCCAGGUGCAGCUCAUCCUUAAAGACUGUGAGGUGGAGCACUGAGAGAGCUGCUUCCCAUCCUGCAUAUUGUCAAGCUGAGGUUAGAUACACAAGGACAAACUAGUUUAUAAAAGUAGGAGUUAGAGCUGUCUCAUAAUGUUAUCUCUGGUUAUGUUUCCCUCAGCCCCAGCAAAGCUCUGCUACUUCAGCUGGUGGACCAUGUGUGUGAGGGGAUUGAAGAGGGAGUGCUGAGACACGCAGAGUCCCGGUCAAGCCCUGGAUGGGGAGCUGGACCUCAGUGAGACCAGGCUGAACCAAAAGGCCUGUGGAUCUCUGGCCCUGGUUCUGGAACACUCAGAGGGGCUGUCAGAACUGGACCUCAGCCACUGCCAACUCACAGACCGCCAUCUACAGCCCCUGCUCACACACCUGCACAAAGUUGAAGUCCUUGAGUGAGUGGGUUUCACUCUGUGUGUGUGUGUGUCCAUGUGACUACAUGACAAAUGUCUGAUCCUUCAUUCUCUUCCUGUUUCUGUAUUGUAGCCUGAGUCACAAUGACAUCACUGAUGAUCUGACCAACAGAAUUCUCCAACUGGUCUCCACCAACACUUCAAUCUGCACCGUACGGUGAGUGUGUGUGAUGUCAGUUUGUGUGUGCACGUGAGAUCAUAUGGUCUCUUUUUCUGGGUGCAACUAUUURAUGUUGGUUGUCUGUAGUGUAAUGUUCUAAAACUAAUAAUGAUGAUGUUAGUGUUCUUCUCUACAGGCUCUUCAGCAACACAAUCAAGGACAGAAGUCCGUUCCUGACAGACAAGAGGUUUGAGAUCUGGUGAAGCAGCAUCAGGUCCAAGUCCAGACAGAGGAAGCGAAGAUGGAUGUUGAAGAGGUAGAGGAAGCGAAGAUGGAUGUUGAAGAGGUAGAGGAAGCGAAGAUGGAUGUUGAAGAUGGGUGUAGUAGCUACGAAGCCUCAUCUCAUCAACCUUAACCUGGACACUAAACGUAUCCUAAUUUUAACCAAUUCUUAAAUAUUGAAUGAAAGCCACAUCCCCUUAGUUUUUAGCUGACCUCAUCAUGGUGUCAGAAGAACUGCAAGUGGUGUCAUCAGGGAUUUGGGGACUAAGGUAUUGUAAAAAUAGUUGAGACUCCAGAACUCUGUAAUGUUCUGAGUGUAAUGGAUAGGAAUGUGUAGUUUUAUUUACCUCUUACAUGGUUCUGAAAAACACAGGAACAUGUGUAGUAUAAUGUUUUUUGAGCUUUACAUAAGUAGAUGAUUUUUGUGAUCUGACAAUUUGUGAAAUUCCUUCUGAAGGAAUGGAAUGUAUUUGUGCUUUUMUAGUCUAGUAUUUAUCAGGUUGAUGUGAAUGUGUUCUACAGUUGCAGUGGGAGAYGUAAUACAUGAGUGUUUUGUUGCAGGUCAACCUCAUGGUAUUGUUACUCAGGCUAGCCCUGUUGAGAACCAAGCUUCCCUAUUCAGGAAGCAAGGGGUGUGUUGACUUCUCUUGAACGUUUGCUAUGUUGUGCAACGUUUUGUACUGAAUGACACGUUUCCCCAAAAUGUUCUUGAACAGACUUUGAGGUACGUUUGGUGGGUGUGGCGAGGUGUGGCUUGAAGCAAUGAGUGACAUAUUUGUAAAGGGCAGUGGCCAUGCUGACAAUAUUCUCCAACCCACAACCCAACCCCUCCCCAUUUUUCAACUGGUYGUUCAGUACAGCACCGUUUACGUUCAAUUGAACCGUUUCAGAACGUAGAAACAUACUGAACGCAGCCCUGGUGAAGUUCAGGGCAGAAAGUAGCUACAAGUGGGUGGAAACCAUUGAUGCCUCGCAACACGUCAAACCAAUCAAUUGCCUUGCUUUGGCGGAGCACUAAAGGUAGCCACUAGUGCCAUAGGAGGAACAGUGUGUGAGGAUGCCCAGGGAAUCGCUGAUGUAUAACAUAGGCUGUAUGUACACAAACCAUAACAAAAAUGCCCUCAUCGACUUGUGAAGAACAUUACACGCAGCUUCCCUUYUAAGGGCAUGUGGGGGAGGUUUCUUGAAAUAUAACAUCCAAUCAAAAUGUAGCCGCUGGAACCCAGCAGACCAUUCUGUUUUGGCUCAUACAAAAUUCUCCAAUUCUCCAGCAUGACAACAAUGUGAUUUUGGAGGUAUGGCUACAUGAGACUAGUACAAGCCUUUCUCAUAUCAAAACAGACAAACUAAGAAAUAAUAUAUGAAUAUUUUGUUUUUUAAAUAAAUGUACCUUGAGGCCCAUGAUUGGCUUUUGACUGUGUUCUCUUCAGGUUGAAAUCAUUACUAGUGAAUCCUAAAUAAUCUGUUUCAAGUUAAUGCUGGUAUUAAAGCAAUCCCAUGUGUAUUUAUUUUAAUGAGAAUUUAAGUUGAGAGCUAAGCACUAUGGACCAGCAGAUGGGGUUGCUUCAGAGAGCCUUGACUGGGGUUAGAACCUACAACCAUGAUUCAGAGAGCCUUGAACAACGCCUUUCUUUCUUGAGCCCACAGACAGAAUUCUCAGGCUAUGACUCACUCUCCAGCUAAGGGCCGAUGUUGGUUGAAGUCUUUAGCUUAUUCCUUUAGUCCCGCCCCAUUUUCCCGUCACAGAUUUAUGCUGGGAUCUUUUCCAAGUGUGAAGUAGCUGGUGCCUCUUGCCCUUGAAGCAUGGUGUUACAGAUUCAAGCCUGGACUGGUCAAUGUGGUUUUGGUAGCACUAACCUGAUGGUGAUAGAAGCAUUGGAUUCCUUCUCCGGUUAAUCCUGUGGUUCGGAUCAAAAGUGUCUACUUUUUCCUCCAUAACCACUGCUGGUUACUGUUCCAUAUCCGCAGGGGGGAUCCCAGGAUGAACUACUCCCCACUUAUCGCUUUCUUCCGGCCAACAAGCACAGCCAUUUUAUGUGUCACAGCUACUCCCAGCAGCCUUUAACCCCAGCAGCCAAAACUUGCUCAGCAACAGAGUGCUCAGUUUUAAGGCAACCAUGAUGAGAGCGCAGCACUGGUUUCAACCUACACAGCCAAGAGAGACUUCUUCCUUCUUAACAUUCGUUACACUUCGGAUUCUGACAUCGAUGUUUAUCACCUAAAGCAGAAGUGUUGAGUUUUGAACCUAUAACCUCUUGGAUGAAAGGCAAAGUACUCAAAAAAUCUAUUCUAGCUCUUAAAUUAAAGGGCAGUAGCCUACAUUUAAUCUAUGAUUUUCAAUUACAGCAUUAUUUCAUCUGCAGUUAUUCUUCUGAUAUUUAUUCUGUUACCAAUAAUAUUUACAUGUUAAUAUUGUCUUCUGAUUACAAUUAUUAUGUCUCAGGUUGCAUUUAGUUCAAAUAUAUUAGCUUCCAAAAUGUAAGUAGGUAUAUCUAGCUGUCAGAUGACACGUUCUGAAUGUCUGAUGGAAUGGCUUGGCCUGCACCUUGUAAAAACCCAUAGUGAAUGUCUGAUGGAAUGGCUUGGCCUGCACCUUGUAAAAACCCAUAGUGAAUGUCUGAUGGAUGGCUU
rnacentral:lncRNA from 1 species